ensembl:lncRNA
CCUCAUCUAUGGGCUUGCAUAUAUUCAUUUCCACAGAUCCCAUUUCUGCUGGUCUUAACAGGUUGAUGGUUUGAUUUGAAGAGGCAAAGAAAUUCCUUCAAAGUGAUAACACUAAGGAGAAGUCAGAGGUAUUCUGGGCAUGUCAGAUUUGGCCCAGCCCCGGGCAGAGCCGUUACCUUACAGGACCUUUUCUGGUUAGGGCAGGUUCUAAUCAGCUGCUGUGCGUGAUCUUCCUAUUCACUCAUGAGUGUGGGGCUUUGUUCACUUGGCUUUGGGGCUUAACAGAAGGACAGAAUCUAGAGACUGGUACUGCCAAGAGGGCUUGGCUUCCUUGGCAGUACUGGCUGCAUCGUCGGUGAAUUAUUUGAUCUUUUAGCUGGUGUUGGCAUGCUAAUUUGGGAUCUUAGACACCAGAUAUCAAUAUUUCAGAAAUUUCUGUAAGAAGCUUUUCCCCUGUACCAAAUAUUUGACAGGAAACUUUCUCCUGAAAUAUUAAAAUAAAAAUUUCAAAGGGAAGGGGCAAAAAUUUUGUUGUUUAAUGAGAAAGAAGAAACUAAUCUGAAAGUUUGGAACUUUAGAGAAAAGGGCUAGUCUUUUUGAGUAAACAUGCAUGAGUCCUAUUUUGUUACUAAUUGCAUGUUGGUAAUUCUUGACUUGUACCCUUUCUGACUCGAAAUCUAAGUCUAAACUUAGACGCUUUGGAUUACUCAGAUAAUGGAUAUGACUGUAUCUCUGUAGGAUGGCUGUGGUAUUUUGAGUAUCGUGCUGGAUUAUUUUGAUCAUUCAUGCUAAUACAGUCAUUCAGUGUAUUAUGAUGAGCUCUUUCUCAUCCACAUUCUUGUUUCCUUAUGUUCUGCAGAACAUUUAUGGCCCAGGAAAUGCUCAUAGUCAUUUUUAUUGGGGGGAAGGAGCAUGGAGGGGACAGUCAAGAGUCAACCUAAACUUGAGAAAUUCUGAGUGAAACGAAAGUUAAACAGAUUUCUUUGCAGAAAGACUUCUCCAAAGUCUUUAAUACGCUCCCUGUAUAUUUUGAAUUUCUACCCUCCCCCGGUUUUUUGUAGAAUAUUUGUUAAUGUUAUUCAGAAUACUUUUCCUGUACGAAAGUUUGGGAAACACUACUUGAUUCUAAAGAUACAAUGAGAUGCAAUUGCUUUAAUCAUAACCAGAGGGAUUCCAGCCUCUCACCAGAUGGCUGAGAAAGUAAAGUCCUAGAACAACUGUUAUCUCCUUUUUCGGAAGGCCUUAUGAGAAAGACAUCCAUUUAUCUCAGAGAGCAUUAUGCAAUCUCCUAAAGAGAGAGAAAAAUGAACCAGAGGACCCAUAGAUGACCCUGUAAUUCUCUGGUUUGAAGAUACAACCUUUUAGAACAUUUCAUCAAUCAAUAUACCUUUGUCUGAAAAGGUUAGAGAACCAAAUCUUAAAAAGUGUCUUUGUUAUCUACUACUGAGUAACAGUCUCCCCAACAUGUAGUGGGUUAAGACAACAAAUAUAUAUUAUGUCAUAGUUUCCAUGAGUCAGACACUCAGGAGUGGUUUAGUUGGACUGUUCUGGCUGUCUCAUAAAGUUGCAGUCAGGAUGCAGGCAGAGACUGCACUCAUCUUAAGGCCUGACUGGGACUGGAAGUGCUGCUUCCAAUAUGGCUCACCUACAUGUCUGUUGGCAAGUGACCUCAGUUCCUCACCACCUGGGCCCUUAGCUGUUUGGAUGUCCUUAUGACGUGAUCUGAGAGAGCAAGUGAAGAGGAAGCCAUAGAGCCUUUUAAGACCUAGUCUCUGAAAUUGGAUACUGUCACUUCUGCUUUAUUCUAUUUGUUAGAAGCGAGUCACUAAGUCCAGCUCACACUCAAGGGAGGAUCUAAGCUUUACUUUUUAUGAGGAAGAGAAUCAAAGAUUUGUGGACAUAUUCUAAAGCUACCACAGAAGGUUUAAAUAAUAAGGACAUGAGAAGAAGGGGCAAGAUAGGGCGGUGCCUGGAUUAUUUAGUUCAAUAUCCCAUGACAUCAUCAAAGAUCCAAGUUCUUUCCAUCUUCUGUUCUGCCAUGGUGGUGCCUUGGCUUUGUGGUCAGGUUGGUUCCCCACAUAGAUGCCAAAAGACUGCACAGGUACUAAUUAUCAUGUCUAGUUGCGACAACAUCCAGCAGGACAAAUGGAUUGUGUCUUCUUUGUGACGUGAUAUUUGAGACCUGACCAUUUAAAGAGAAGUCUUGGGCUGUAUAUUAACGCUUUGAGUCUAUCUGACUGAGGACUUCAGUUUCCCAUCAUUCAGGGGGCAAAUGAAGCACUGGAAGUGGAAAACAUUGCUCGCCUCACAGGAAUUGCCUUGACUAAUUGAGUAACGUAGGAGUUCCAGGACACAGAGUUUCAUUCACAUGGACAGUUUACAACUUUAACUGGUUUGUUUGUGUGUGUGUAUCUGUGCCUCUGAUGAAAGGGCACACCGAGGUGACCAGUCGUAUACUUCUGACCUGAGCAUCCUUCGACCUGGCUGCCUGAAGUUUGGCAAGGAAUAGAACCAUCCCCAUAAUCGGAGCCAGAGAUGGGGAAAAAGGUAGAACUGGGAAAUUGCUCCUUCUCCCUUGCGAGGUGAUGCUCCUCUGAAGCAUCCAGGACCAAGAAGGGGCUGGGAAUGAUAGGAGACCAUUCAGGGGACUCACAACAGUAGCUAUAAUGGACUAGUAAGAAAUGAAAAUUUAAUAUUUGGAAACCUGUGUUUAAAAUGCUGGGCAUACUAACAAUGCAUUAUGGCAGUGAACAAGAUAGACAAGGGCCCUCCCUCAUGGUGCUUUCUUUUUUGGGAGUAACUCCAAUGGCGUCAGAGGGCUCACCUCCUGGGAGAGCUUCGAGUCUCCUGCAGUCACAGAGGCCAAGUUCCUCAGCUCCAAGCAACAUCAUGCCUCAACCCAUACUUGAGUGAAAAUUCAGGGAGGUAUAUGGACAAUCAGAAGUGCAGAUGGUUUAACCAGGAUAUAAUCUGGAUAAGUUUGACCAGCUGAGGAUAAUUGAAUUUAAGGAAAUGGAAAAUAUAACAUCACUCUAUUCUACAAUAAAUCGAGUAAUGAAGACUUAGAAGCCAUUUGGACCAGAAGUAGGUUUGCUUCACCUGGCGAAAGCAAAUUUGUCACAGUGAUAUCCUGAGCUGCUAAAUACACUAAUAGAGAAGCUGAUCAUACAGUAUUUCAUUUUGUAAAUGUAUCAAAUAGCUCUCUUUAAUAUAUACCAAGUCCAUUCAUUAAACAAUCAUCACUGUAAAAAAAUCGAUGUUUGAAAUAGUGAUAACAAACCAACUCCAAAUGUGCAAAUUAACACUUCAUUUUUUGUUCUGCAUUGAUUAAGGGAAAAAACUCAGCUCUAUGUUCAUCUUCUUGCACGAUCUUCAUUUUUCACAGGAAUUUGUCUUUCUCUGUGUGUAUAUAAGAAGAUGGGGCCUAGGAAUGUAACUAUUCUUUCUUAAUCCAUAUUAGUGAGAAAAGCAGGGCAAACAAAUAUUUUACAGAUAAGAACAGACACUUGCAAGCUCAGUGAGUUGUUAAGAGCAAUUUUAAGGAAUAAAAGAUUUCUCAGUUCUUUGUUUUUAAAUUAUAGGCUCAUCAUAUUAUGUAUUCUCUAAAUAUUGAGAUUAGUUAGUAGAUGUAUUAGCCUAAUGAUUUGUCCUAAAC